rnacentral:rRNA from 1 species
UGGGGAAUUUUGGACAAUGGGCGCAAGCCUGAUCCAGCAAUGCCGCGUGCAGGAUGAAGGCCUUCGGGUUGUAAACUGCUUUUGUACGGAACGAAACGGUUCUCUCUAAUACAGGGGGCUAAUGACGGUACCGUAAGAAUAAGCACCGGCUAACUACGUGCCAGCAGCCGCGGUAAUACGUAGGGUGCGAGCGUUAAUCGGAAUUACUGGGCGUAAAGCGUGCGCAGGCGGUUAUGUAAGACAGAUGUGAAAUCCCCGGGCUCAACCUGGGACCUGCAUUUGUGACUGCAUAGCUAGAGUACGGUAGAGGGGGAUGGAAUUCCGCGUGUAGCAGUGAAAUGCGUAGAUAUGCGGAGGAACACCGAUGGCGAAGGCAAUCCCCUGGACCUGUACUGACGCUCA